AGCUCCAAUAGCGUAUAUUAAAGUUGUUGCGGUUAAAAAGCUCGUAGUUGGAUUUCUGUUGAGGAUGGUCAGUCCGCACCCUGUGCGUGUAUUUGGUUCAGCCUCGGCAUCCUCUUGGAAAGCGCAAUCGUACUUGACUGUAUGGUGCGUGAUUCAAGACUUUUACUUUGAGGAAAUUAGAGUGUUCACGGCAGGCGUUUGCCUUGAAUAUGUUAGCAUGGAAUAAUAAUAUAAGACCUCGGUUUUAUUUUGUUGGUUUCUAGAAGCGGGGUAAUGAUUAAUAGGGACAAUUGGGGGUAUUCGAAUUAACGCGUCAGAGGUGGAAUUCUUGGAUUGCGUUACGACGAACUACUGCGAAAGCAUUUACCAAGGAUGUUUUCA
rnacentral:rRNA from 1 species